UACGUAGGGUGCAAGCGUUAAUCGGAAUUACUGGGCGUAAAGCGUGCGCAGGCGGCUUUGCAAGACAGAUGUGAAAUCCCCGGGCUUAACCUGGGAACUGCAUUUGUGACUGCAUGGCUAGAGUGCGGCAGAAGGGGAUGGAAUUCCGCGUGUAGCAGUGAAAUGCGUAGAUAUGCGGAGGAACACCGAUGGCGAAGGCAAUCCCCUGGGCCUGCACUGACGCUCAUGCACGAAAGCGUGGGGAGCAAACAGG
rnacentral:rRNA from 1 species